AUUAAAAGAAGAAGAAAGAAAAUAAUAAUAAUUGUAUUUAUCUUUUUCUGCUUGAGGAACAUUGAUAAUCAUACAUACCUGAGGGUUUUAACGAACGACGUUACGGUCCUGAGUCGAAGCUGACCGAGGAUUGGCGAAUAUUGUCGAAGCCGAUCGGUGUCGACGGUGGCGGCAGUAGCUACGAGGACGAAGACGACCGACGACGACGGCAACGAAUUAGAACGUGCGUGUAUGUGUAUGCGAGAGCAUCCGUCGUGCCGCGCGCACUCAACGAAUCCGCGAAGUUGUUGACCGAACCUUCUCUGUUAUUUCCGUCGAUCAAAGUGCCGACAUAUACAGUGAGAAAGAGAGAGAAAGAGAGAGAGGGAGAAAGAGAAAUAAAGAAAGAGAUAGAGAUAGAGAUAGAGAGAAAGAGAUAGAAAGAGAAAGAGAGAGAGAGGGAGAGAGAGAGAGAAGAAGUUUCUAAGUGCGUUAUCCUCUGUCCUGAAAAUCGAUUUCUUUUUCAUAAUCGCAUAUACGUGAGUUUCGACAAUAUCGAUAAUUAUUAAACGUCGUUAGUUGGUGUACUUGUUGUGUGUUUGCGUGGGUGUUACUACGGGCACCAUUUACGAACGUCUUAAUUGUGUGUAUAUCCUCACGUUCUUCUCCCAUCAAUAUUAUACUGUGGUG